CCGCGCCGUGUCUGGGGGUCGGUCUGGUUCGGCUGGCGGUUGCGCGGUGGCGGCGUCUCCGCGCAACCCUGCGGGUCCCAGCCGUGUGUUUUAUUAGAAUUAAGUGUCGUCCUUACGAAACCCUGAAGAUAGAGAACAGGAAGCAAAGGUCCUGAGCGAGUGUGCGGCUCAGCUCAGGACCGCACAGCUCAGGCCAGAUCCGUAGAAAGAAGACAAUCCACUCAACGUUCCUUCGAUAAACAUAUCUGUUGAACACUGUAAAGCUGUGAGCCAGACGAAGAGCUCGCCCAGCUGCAGAAAACAUGGAGUUCGACCAUAAAGCAAUGGGAGAUGCUACAGAUUCAUGCAAAAUUUCCUUUCCUGCUUUCGAGGGCAACCACUCAAGGAGGCAGCAGGUGUCACAGCAGCAAAGUCCAGAACUGCCACACCUGUGACAGGUAUGGGAUGGCGAGAAGGAGGAGUCCAGCCUGAUCCACAGAAAAGACCCGAGGUUGAUGUCUGGUGAAUAAGGGGGACCAGGCCAGGCGUCCUCCUGUGAUGCUGCUGUGGGUGUGGCUUUUUCACCGUGGGAGGGCAAGUAAUUUUAAAACCAUGUGAACUCACCUCCCAGCUGCCUUCUUUUGAAAACAGGCUCUCGCUGGGUUUAUCAAUCGCCCACCCAAACCUGGCUCUCACAGUUAGCACAUAACUCCUGAUUUCAGGUGUAAAUUUUCAUAGUUUCCAGACAGCUGUUCAUACACUGAUGGCAAGUUCUCCACACACUUGGAGUAAUGAUGCCUUCCUGUCAGUUGGCUCAGUGUGAGAGAUGCAAACCAGCAAAGAUUAGGGGGAAACCAGUGUCUGGAUGCUCGCUCCACACCUCUACUAUCACACAGCCCUUCCCUCUGCAAAACUGAUACCAAGAGAAGCCAAUUUGCUAAGAAUCACAGGUAAAAUUAAAACCUAAAAUUUAACCAUAUGCCCCCUAAAAUACCUAUUCUAUUUUUUGUUAAAGCUAUGAAAAAUAAUUAUUCCUCACUUCUACAUUCGAGCUGCAUCCUCAAACUGAGGGAGAAUCCUGCAGGAAGGUGCUAGAGUGUAAGCAGCUUUGGGCAAGAAAGAGCUCUCUGCAGGAGGCCCCUUUGUCUUGUCACCAGCCUUAAACCAGGCACCCCCAGGCUCUACUCAUCUCCGGCCCAAGCACACCUUUCAAAUCUUGGUAACCUGUCGGUUCUUCCCGUAGAUCAAAGACGUAGAAAUGAAGAGUAAGUAAUUAACCGAUGACCAGAUCUCUUCCCUAGCUUCCCCUUCAGUAAUCACGUGAACAGAACAAACUGUGUGAACAGGAUAGCAUCACGAGGAUUGACAAGCCUGCACACGGUGGGGAGGGUGAUGGGUCUGACACCCCCCCCCCCACGUCUACGAUUAACUGAGAUUACUUCCUUUUUUCCCUUUAAAACUUUCAUGGCCAAGCAGAAUCUUCGGAGGUGGUUUUGGGGGACACUGAGUCCACCAUCUCCCCAGAUGGCCAGCGUUCUGAUUAAAGACAACUUUCCGUUCUACCAACACCUGCCCCUCUUGAGUAUUGACUUUUGAGUGGUGAGCAGCUGGACCUUAUUCAGUAACGAGAGAGCUUCUC